AGAGUGUAGACACUGACUGAUGGGACCAGGUACAAAAUCCCCUGGGACAAAACAGAACUUUCAUAACUGGCUGUAGAGUUAUUGUUUUUGCCUUUUGGAAGCUUCCACCUUGUGACGGGAAGAGCACUGUCAGCCCAACACAGAAACUCUGCCGCCUGGAGUCACGUGGAUCCAGAUGCGAAGGGACUCCAACGUCAUGCUAAGGAGUUUGGGUAGCCAUCCUGUGACCCUGGAAGAAACCAGCCCAAGGAAGGUGCUAACCUACAGAAGAAGGACAUGGCCAGGGUAAUCACAUAGACCCGGAGUUGAAGCCCUGACUGCACCACACCCGAAGCCUCCCCACCUUUCAACCUCUCGGUGAUGGUGAACCAAUAAACUCUUUUUAUUGUUCAAGCCAGUGUGAGUUAGGUUCGCUAUAAUUUGCUGCAGAAAGUCUCCUGAGUGAUUCAGAUGCCUGUUGGUGCUCCUGGAAUUGCAUCCAGAUGCCCUACCUUAGUAUUAAAGUCUCACUCAACUCUAAGAUCAAUGAGUGGGGAGGGUGAGGGCUAGAUUUUCAUUGACCCUGGUGUUGCCAGCCCCUGCUGGACAUCAAUCUGGCACAAAGCAGACAAUGUUAAUUUUUUUUUCCUUGAAGGAGUAAACCCAGGUCUCUCUCCAGUGUCUUAUCAGCCUCCCAAAGGCGGGGAAUCCCACUGGGGUCCCUGAUCACCUUCCAGAGCCACCUCUCUGCAAUCAGCUGCAUUUUGCUAGAAUCGGCCUUGCUGUCCACCUUCCCCAUCAGCGUCCUCAUGGAGACCACCAUGAGGGAGGGGCCAGCGGGUCUGAACUUGAGGCUAUGUCUAGCAGUGUGUCUGAGCUCCAGGUACCCAGGAGGGGGCCAUGGCCGAGUGAUGCCCAGGGCACAGGAUGGUGCAAGCAAGAUGUAAACAAGAUGCAAACAAGAUGGUGCAAGGAGAUGCAAACAAGAUGUUUGCAAGGAGAUGUUUGCAACAAGAUGUUUGCAAAGAGAUGUUUGCAACAAGAUGUUUGCAAGGAGAUGCAAACGAGAUGGUGCAAGGAGAGCCUCCAAAACAGCCUGGAAUUCACACAAGUAAAUGGGAGGGGCCUCAGAGCCACUGUGAUUUGGGCAGCAAUAAGUAUGACCAGCAGGGUGACCAGUGGACCAUGAGAAACAUCCACAUGUGGGUCCAAAGAACAUUGCAUUCCUUUGUUUAUCUAACCCACAUCCUCCUUCGUGUCUUAGGGCCUUUGCACUGCCCUUUCCUUGGACUGAUUACCCAGUUACUCUACCUCAUGACCAACCUCUGUCUUAAUUCUCUGCAGAGUGCUUAUCAAUGGCUGAUUGCAUUUGUUUGCUUUUGUUUCUCUGUCCAUGACAGCAAGGACCUUGAUUGUCUUAUUUAUCACUACUUCUCUCAUAUCAAAAAUCCCUCCAUAGUCCUGGCUCAGCAGCUCUUGCCUAUAAUCCCAGCACUUUGGGAGGCUGGGAAAGGAGGAUUGCUUGAGGCUAGGAGUUUGAGACCAGCAACAUAGCAAGACCCCAUUAAAAUAAAAUAAAAUAAAAAUUA
rnacentral:lncRNA from 1 species